AGUAUAUUUCAUUGAAAUUUUAUAUUAUCAGUCGAAUUUAAUUCGCAAAUCUUACUUUACGUAGUAAAUUUUCAAAGCUGCAGAUAGCUCAAAUAAUUUCUGGGGCAGCAGAAAAACUAUUUUUUUUUUAAAUUCUGUUUCAGUGAGCAAGAUCAAAUCUUUACGAAGUUUAACUUGUGCAUACUUCAAAGUUCUGAAAGUUGAUUUCUUCAUACUGACAUUUUUUUUUAAAAGAAAGUUUAGGUUAAGCGUAUCGAUUCCUUGUGCCUAUCGCAAAUUUGGCGACUUUGCCUCAGAUCCAUCCUCCCGUACUGAUUCUCGUACGCAGCUGCGAUCAAACUUUUUAAGUCACGACGCUGUUUGCGCAUAGAAUCUGGACGCGCGACGAUAUCUGGGAUUUCUUUAAGCCUUUUUGCUGAUUCUUCUUUCAUUGCUUCUAUCAGUGUCAGCUAAAAAUUAGUGCCGAGUACGCGGAAAUAUUCAUACAUUUUCUAAAAAUCAAAAUUUUCUCCGCUCGUCGGGAAACUGUGCGCCGACCCAUAAGCAUCGCGUCGCGUAAAUAAACAAGUAACGCUACCUUGUCUACAUUGAAUUGCGACUCGUGUGAGAGUUACGGGAAGCAACUCAAUGAAGAGAAUAGCAUAAAACGAAAUUAUCGCGAAUUUGUUUUUUUAGAAACUUGUUUUUCUCCCAUUCACGUUCAUGGCACCGAGAGAGGUCUCGAAAACGCUGAUGCCAGUAAACACAAAGCGAACCUGACCGAGUCCAUACUACUUCAUGCCGGUUUAAUUGAGGACGAGCGGGAGGCGGUGAGAUUGGACACUAGAAUCAGGUACCAAAGCCUAAUCAUGAACCAGAACCGAGAGCAAACCUUCCAGCUUAGAAAGAGGCGUCUUUUCAGGCAAGUUUUCCGCCAGGUAUGGCGAGAAAAUAUUCGGGAAUGUCAAACCCAGCUGGAGGUGACGAGAGCAUUAAGUCAGUCUAAGAUGCGAAGGAAUCAGUGGAUUAAGAACAGAAAAUACUGGACAUUGAGGGAGGUCUUGCCGCACAUGAGGAAGGAAGUAGCGGCUAACCGGCAAAAUUUUCGGCAGGUUCCGGAGUCGAAGGGACUGGGAUAACCACACCCGCCAAAAAUGAGGAUGAGGACCGCGUCAAUGUCGCAAAAUCUCCAAGGAAGCGCAUUCAAAUAUUUGCGGACUUCACUGCAGAAUCCCUGGUUUCAAAUAUCGCCCAUAAGUUCGGUGAAGACUUCGAAGUCUCGGAAGAAGGGGGUAGAUUGGACAGAUUUGAAGCCAUCGUCGACAAAAUUUCAAAACAGAACGACGAGCAACGCUUAGGCGACGUCAUCAUUGUCAUGGCUGGUGCAUUAAACGUACACCCCGUACAGGAACCUGAGAAGAUCGGCAGCGGCCUGUCAUUGGAAUGUCUGGAAGCAAUAGCCAAGGAAAGGCCUGUGUUUUUAUUCAGUGUACCACAUCAACACAAGCCCAAGUACGAUCCUCUGCUCCAGAUCGUGAUCAAAAUUUUGAGAGAGAAUGCGGGAAGGUGUCGCCAUCUAAAGUACCAAUCGUUAGCAAAGUUAGGGGCGGACGAAUACCGGACGGUAUAUAGUCCCGUCCAGAGAAAACUACCGUACGGCCCCGGUCCCGACUACUGGGUUACUCGUCAGUUGUCCGAGUCAGCACGUCAGAAAAUAGCGAACUUUGUGUUUAAAGCGCUACGACAACACAAGGUAGCUGAAUCAAGUCCUAAGUCUUUUCCUGAGAGCGAUGUUGGAGCAUGCGGCGAAACUACGGCCCGCGGCUCGAAACGGACGUUUUCUAAUGAGGACACCGAGAUUUUGCCUAGAAACGAUUACAAGAGGGCAAAAACAUGCAAGGUACAGAACAAUUUCAGUAGAAAAGAGGUGAUUUUGAGCAACUUUGGAUACGAUUUUUCGGAUUCAGUUACUGUAUAUCACGAACCUAUUUACGUGAGAAGUGUAAAUUUCAUGCAGAAUAAAAACUUUAAGCGAGAGGUUUAUUCGAACGAUAAGUCUUCGUCCGAAGUAAAGGAGGUCACAGAGCAGGUUCAUUCCUUGCCUGAUUUUAAUGAUACGAAUUUUGGGUCUAAUGCAUCUUUGAGCAUUGUUUCAGUUAGUUCUGAGGAAAUUUGCAUAAACAAAGGAAGUGUCGAGCCCGUUAGGGAGCGUGGAGAUCCCGACACGUUCAAGAUUUGCAAAUCUGAAGAGAGCCCAGCCGCAUGUGAAACUCAGGAUGGAGAUUUUCACAACAUACAAAUAUUCCCUACGGAAUUCGUAAGUUCUAUUGAAGAAAAUGGUAAAUAUGAUCAUUUUGAUCAGCAAGAAACUAGAAUAGAGGCAUCAAAACUCGAACACGAGGUCGAAAUUUUCACGGUAACACGCGAUGAACUUGAACUUACGCGUGGUUUACGCGUUUCAGGUAAACAAGGUGAGCGCAGCGAUUUUCAAAACAUUGACGCCGCCAGUCGCGAAGUUUACAAAUUCAAGAAAAGGAGUGAGGAAAAGCGAGGCUGCACUACUACGAAUUACACGGAUGAUGCCAAAUCGAAGUUCAAUAAGAAAGUCUGCUUGAAACGUAAUGAUCAUUUUAAGGGAUCCAAGCUGGAUCAUGAUUUUUCUUGGAGAAGAUUGCCUCCCAAGAAUUGGAGAUUUAGGAGGAAAUUCGAUCCUGGGGGAUAGUGUCAAUCUAGGAUUUUCGAUUUCAAGACGUAUAACUUUCUUAUCCUAAUGACGAUGGUUUAUUUUUUUACAGAAUACGAUAAUAUAUUCUUUGAUUUUCAGAUUCUUUUUUGUUGGUUUAAAUUUUACUGUUCUUAAUGGACUUUUCCGAAGGUCGGUGAAUCAAGAAUUAUACAUAAAAAAAUGGACCAUUUGUUUACUGGAAAGUCCAUCUAAAAAAAAGAAGAGGUUGCAAAAAAGUCCUGUUCGCAAGGGGAGUUUCCUAAUGCCGUCUUGGAAUUCGCAUCACUGACGAGAAACGCAUUUCCAGUCCAUGUCGCUUGAAUACUACACGUCGCAGAUGACACCCAACCGAAGUGAUACUAACUUCACUGCCCAUGGCAGGCCGCAGGCCGGCUCAUUCCAGUUGGUGCCUGUGGGAUUUUGGUCAUCCCGGUUCUUCGCUCGGAGCAUCUCCCUGGGCUCACAGGCUCAUCAAGAAGAUAUAUAAGCUGUCUUCAUCCAUGGAUGGUGACGGUCGACAUCCCCCAACAUCCCUGGAAAAUCUCGCUGCAUCAACUUUUCGGCGGAGUCGGGCACGUUCCUCCCGAGGGACUUCUCCCAUCGUCAUAUCUCCUUGUCGGGAACAUCGGGCCGGCGAACAACCAAAGAGGAUACUGGGACAUCCCGGGGGACACGCUGCUGUCAAGUCGAGAGCGAUCUGCAAACCUGGCUCAUCCUGCAUCAACCUCUGGGCGGGAUCAGGCGCAUUCCUUCCGAGAGGUCGUCGGGGGCAUCAGGCCGGUGGACAUCCGAAGGCAUCCUUGGACAUCCUAGGGGACACACUGCAAUCGCAGCAAGGGCGAUUGGUGAACUUUCCGCAACCUAAUUGGUGGGUCCUAACAUCUUUCCCGCGAGGUCAUCGAUGGACAACUCAUAGAUUUGGCAACAUGCAUCCUCACUGUACUGCGAGGCGGCUGAAACUUGGAUAACAGCGGAUGUUGACGGUGUACAUCAACAGCAGCAUUGGGCAAUGACAUGACUACCAGGCGAUUUCUGAAUCAGCAUGAAUGCGUUGGACGGACGGUCACGGAAAACUCUUCUCGGCGUUUUGUUAUAUUUACCUAGGUUAAGAAAAUAACCCGGUGCUAGAUAAAAGAGCGUAUUUAUUUAUAUUUUGUUUUUAGCUCGAUUUUUUUUAACGAGUACCGGGAAGAAUCAGGUUAGGGCUGAGGCAGAGUGGCCUCAUGGUUCUUUUGGGAUGUUGUUAAAUGAACAGAAAAGCCAUGAAGUUCUUCAAACCAAAGCUCUGAUUGGAUUCCGGCAAAGAUUGUAGCCGCUUUAUUUAUAUUUUUUUUUUUUCUGGAAAAAGUCAUAUUUUCUAUUACCAUUCGAUUAAUGUUUUUUUUACCGCUAGCCUUCUUUUAUUUAUGAUUUUUUUUUAACUUCUUUUAUUUUACUAUUUUUUUACGACGAAACGCUGCAAUUUCCUGCGCAUGGGCCUUUGCUUCGAAAGGGAUGGUUAAAUUAUUUUUUUUUACUAUUUUUUUUUAACGUAUGGUGGGAUGGUGUAAUAGAACGAGGCCAUAUCACUUACGUUUCUAGGGCCGCAUUCUAUUAUGCUUUCUAGCUCCUUCAGCCCGAAAGCCAUCACUUUCGGAGCGCAAGCUCGCGCGUGCAUUUCGGCGACCUCAGAGUAUCUACCUUGGAGCAUUGCAGAUCAUCGCAAUGGCAUCUUCGGACGUCAUCGCUCUUCCGGAUGAUACCGAGAUAUAUACUCUGAGGGGCCCGCGGCGCGUGGUCGUAUCUUCGAGGCAGCGAUCUAGUGAUAGCGCUCUUGUAUUCUCCGAAUAUACUGUCCACUCUACCGUUUGA